rnacentral:tRNA from 2 species
CGGGGUGUAGCGCAGUUUGGUUUAGCGCGCCACGUUCGGGACGUGGAGGUCGGCGGUUCGAAUCCGCCCACCCCGACCA